UACGGAGGGGGCUAGCGUUGUUCGGAGUUACUGGGCGUAAAGGGCGCGUAGGCGGCGCACCAAGUCAGGCGUGAAAGCCCUGGGCUCAACCCGGGAAUUGCGCUUGAGACUGGUGUGCUUGAGUACGGGAGAGGAUAGUGGAAUUCCCAGUGUAGAGGUGAAAUUCGUAGACAUUGGGAAGAACACCGGUGGCGAAGGCGGCUAUCUGGACCGUAACUGACGCUGAGGCGCGAAAGCGUGGGGAGCAAACAGG
rnacentral:rRNA from 1 species